rnacentral:rRNA from 1 species
GACGAACGCUGGCGGCGUGCCUAAUACAUGCAAGUCGAACGAACCGCGACUAGGUGCUUUCACCUGGCCAAGGUGAGUGGCGAACGUGUGAGUAACACGAGGGUAACCUACCUCAUAGUGGGGAAUAACAGUCGGAAACUACUACCACUACCGCAUAGGACAUAGGAUCACAUGAUCCAGUGAGGAGAGGUGGCGCAAGCUAUCGCUAAGAGAUGGACCCGCGGUGUAUUAGCUAGUUGGUAGGGUAAAGGCCUACCAAGGCGAUGAUGCAUAGCCGACCUGAGAGGGUGAAUGGGUAGAUGGGCACAGAGGCACGGCCCAAACACCUAGGGGAGGACGCGGUAGGGAAUCUUACGCGAUGGAGGAAAGGCGAACGGAGCAAAGCCGCGGAAGUGAAGAAGGUCUUCGGAUGGUAGAGGGCUGUUGUUAGAGAGGAACAGAGCAUAGGGUAACGGGGAAGCGUGUGACGGUAUCUAACAAGAAAGCGACGGCUAACUACGUG